AUAAAACCAUUUACAAAAUAAAUAAAUAAAAACCACAACGAGUGGGAAAUUUCAGGACACGCAGAGACGGGAUCCUCCGUCCCCAUUCCGUGGGAAGGACGGGGCCACGCUGGUCCCGUCCUCCUCCCGGAAGGCAGGGAGGCCAGCUUUCUGACUGGCCCUGAACCCCACAUUGACUCAGGCUACAGAGCUCGUGCUUGCGGGGGGCCGGCCCUCCCUUCAGCAGAACCUCUGUCUGCAGGGUGAUGGCCUUUCUGUGCGGCUGGGUUCUGAUUCUUCUCCUGACGUCUUCAGGCCAGAACUUGUGGCCGUUGGUGACAUCCAGUCACAGCAGCUUUCUUACCUCACUUAAGACACCAUUCGAAGCUUUCUAUUUUUUUUGGCGAAAACAUUAAGAAGAGACAAACGUAGUUUCUAAGAGGGAGUAAAUUCUAGAAAGGAACUUGCCACCCUCUGUCUUCUCUUUGCUCUGGGCAGCAGGGACGAUGGCUUUUUUUCUUCUGGGGAUGACUCUCAAGAGGGUGCAGAACUUUAUACAAGAGCCAUAGGUGGUGUCCAUGGCUGGGUCAUCCCAGACUGAGGAGUGUCUGGGGAGGAGGACCCUGGGCAGAGAACCAGCAAAUGCAAGGGGCCUGGGGCAGGAGAAGGCUUGGCAAGUUCAAGGGAAAACAAGCAGGCCAGUGUGGCCGGAGUGGAGGGAGCAGAGAGGACAAGAGCAGGAGUGAGGCCAGUGAGGAGGCUGGGGUCAGGGGUUCCGUAGAUGUAGGGCCAGGCCGUUCAUCGUAAGGACUCCACGUUUUUCUUUAAUGAGGGCGUUGAAAGCUUCUGGGCAGAGGAGAGACAAACCUGACGGGAUGACAUGUGAUCUCUGUGCUGUUCUUGGAGGUACAGACUCUUGGAGAAAAUGGGAGGAAGUAGGGAGAGCAGCCAAGGGGCUACUGAGAUAAUCCAGGAUAUGACAGGGAUGGGGGCCCGGGGUGGGGGAGGGGGGACAUGGAGGUAAUGAGAAGUGGUCAUGUUCAAGAUUUCUUUUGAAAGAGAGCCACCAGGGCUGCCGACAGAUGUGACACAGGGUGGGAGCGGACGAGGGGGGUCCAGCCUGACCCCGGGUUUCUGGCCCCAGCACUGGGAGGAUGGCAUUGCCCACACUGAAAUGAGGGAAAGACAGGGCUGGGGAACGGGCUGUCAUUUGGGACCUGUGAGUUGUGAGAUUCUGUUGGACGCCCACGGGAGGUGCUGAGUGGCGGUGCACGUUCAGGGACAGGCUGGGCUCGGGUGUGAAUCUGGGGACCAUCGGUGUACAAACAGCAUGUAGAGGUAGAUGAGUCUGAUGAGGUCCCCAAACGAGGGAGAGGGAAUUAGGAGAAGAGGACAAAGGACGGAGUCCAGGGACAGCACCAGGUCUAUGGGUCAAGGGGCCAAGAAGGAACCAGCAAAGAAGACUGGAUAGGAACAGCCAGGGAGGGAGGAGGAAAGUCAGGACAGGGUUCCAGAGAGAAGUGAGUGACUAUGUCAAACGCUCAUAGGUCAAGUGUCUUUGGGAGCGGACCCUUAGCCCAAUACGCAGGUCCCUGGUGACCUGGACAGGGGCAGCUAUAGUGGAUGUGGGGGAGGCAAGUCUGGGUUCAGAGAGAGACAUUACAGAUGGCAGGUACGCUGACUCUUUUGAGGUGCUUGACCGUAAAAACGAGCAAAAGUAGCAGGAGAGGGUUAGUUUUGUUUUGGAGUUGUUGUUUGGCGAUUGGAGAAAUAACCCCGUGUUGUACGCUGAUGGGAACGCUCCCUUAGAGAGAGAAAAUUCAGGCUGCAGGGGCAAGGAAGGGAUACUGGGGGGGGGCACCCUUGAGCAGCUGAGAGGGAAAGUACUUUUGUGCCCAAUGGCCUCAGAGAGUUCCCCUUGUCACAGGGUCUCAGAUCCGGGAAGGAUUUCCCCCUGGGCCCUCCUGGAAGAAUGCUCCUCCCUCAAGAUGGUUAUCUGUGCGCAUACAAUUUUUAUGCAAAGUAGCAGCAUGCUAUUCAUAUUUUUCAUCAAAUUGGUUUUUUUUAAUUCAAAAAUAUAUGAGGGCUAGCCUCCUGAGCCAGUGCCCCCCUGGGACCACACUCAUUUCGCAUUGAUUAAUCAAUGCACAGAUUGAUUGACUAUUAUGUCAUCUCAGAUUGUUGCUAUUAGAUUUUUACAAAUGAUGUGGACGUCCUUGCAGACAUAAACACACACUCCUGGGUAUUUCAGAAUGAUCGACUCCUGGGAGUUAAGUGGCUGGGACAAAGGGUACGUGCGUUCUGAAUUCUGAUAGACGCCUGCUCAAACAUCAUCCACGAAGGUUACCCCUGGGAGCGUCCCACCGGCAGGACGUGAGAGAAGGGGUGUCACACGGGCCGGGGAGGUGGUUCGGGUGUGGACUUUCCAUGGCAGUGGUUCAGCCUGAACGUGGUGCCGGAACCGUAAGGGGUGAACCACCACAGCUCGGGUCACCUUUGGGCUGCGGGGACGCACCCACCAGGCUGCUCUGGGGCUGGAGGGACAGAGAACUAGUUGGAGGGGAGAGAGCAGGGAGCAGGGGCAGCAACACAGAGCUGGGGAGCGGUGGGUGCAGGGAGUCAGGGCUCUGGCUGGCCCUGCGAACCUCUCCUGCAAGCCCCCCUGGCAAGGGGUUGGCCUCCCCCUGUGCAAUCACAACAACCGAGCCCUGCAGGUGCAAGGAGGUAAGGAACGGGAAGAUGAGGCCGUCAGCGCUGGGGCAGCGACAGCGGGCUGCCCGCUGACAGUCACCUCCCUCCUCUUCCCUACUGACAAAUCCCCCUCUUGUUCGUGGACAGCAAUUUCCCAGCUUAAAAACCUUACACUCCCCCCCACCCCCACCCCACCAACCAGUCAGUCCUGUGACACAGCUCAGGGCCACCAGACACGGCAGAGGUUGUCACAUGGCAUCAGCCGGGCUCGCCGUGGCCCCCCCACUGCCCGUCCUGAAAGGGACCCCUCGGCCCAGGUGGAGCGGCCGUGCUGCGACCUCAGGGGCCAUCCGCACACGCCGAGGACUGUGAGGGGAAACCGAGGAGGAGGCCGGGCCCCGGGGCAUCUUGGAGCUGCUGGGCCUUCCCCGGGGCCCCCGCCUCCUCAGGAAGAAAACCUGAUUUGUUUACUCCUGUCGCUCAGGCCCCUCUUACUCUGCGGAUUGCCACCCUAACUGUGCCAGUGGCCGUGUGCGGUGACAGGACACCAGACUGGCCUCCAGGAGAGCCGACCCCCCUCCUCUCCACCGCCCUCCAGCUGCGAGGGGCCCAGGGACCCAGCCUUCCCCCGUCGGUUCCCAGGGCAGCGCUCCCAGGACGCCAGCUGGGCGGGAACAAGGGAGGCCAAGGUCCCAGAAACUCUUCAAAGGCUUCGGUCCUGGAAGGAGGAGGCGGGGCUGGUCCCAGCUCGGACUGGUCAGCAGCUGACCUUGGACGACCCGCAGCUGCCCUCUGGCCCCCCACCAUCUCCUGUUUGAGUAGAGAGUAGACGGAUACACCUUGCGAAAGGGCACGCUGUUCAGGGGAGAGGGGCUGUCAGUGUGGAAGUAUGACUUCGGGAUGGCUGACGGUCCCCCCCCCCCCCGGGGCCAUGAGGACCACGGCUCAGGGCUGGUGCAUGCAGCAGGCAGGGGUGUGGUGGGAGAGCACUACCCUGGGAGCCGGGAGCCCUUCUGCUGCAUCGCUCUGCCGGCCUUGGAAUGCUCCUCCUCUCCUGGGCCUCGGUUUCCUCCCCCGUCACACACAGGGUUUGGGCUGGAUGACCACGACUGACCUCGUCAUCUCUCGUACUCUGGGAGUUAACUUCGGUGCUUGUGCAGACCAGCAGGGAGGCAGGGCCCAGGCGACAGAGGCUGGGGUCGGCUCUGUAGUCAUGAGUGUGAAGUGUGGAGAACCCCAGGAACCUCAGAGAGAGGUCUCCGCAGGGCCCAGGUGGACGCACCUACUGAGAUGUCAUCUGGACGAUGACUGCAUGAAUUCUGGACCAUGCAGGCUGGUCUUGCUGGGUUGAGUGAGUGAGGCUUAUCUUGGGAAGAGUUCUCUGUGAUUUAGAAGUGGCUCUGAGUAGGUGGAUGCCUGCUGGGACAAGUUCUGUCUAGGAUGACCUGGGUCUCCCACUAAUGCGCUGUGUGAUCUUGAUUUAAAGUCUAUUUCGAUUUCAAGUCUGACAUUAUAGCCACCCCUGGAGUCUUUGGAUUUACUGUUGGCAUGGAAUAUCUUUUUCCAUCUUUUCACUCCUGAUCGAUUUGUGUCUUUGGAUCAAAAGUGAGUCUCUUAAGGACUACAUAGAGUUGCAUCAUGUGUCCAUAUUGCCCAUCUCUGUCUUUUGAGUGGAGAAUUUAAUCCAUUUACAUGUAAUUAGUGGUAAGAAGGGACUUUCAUUCGUCAUUUUGUUAUUUAUAUUUUAUAUGCCUAGAAGCCUCAUUGCUCCUCAGCUCCUGAGUUGCUGUAUUCUGUUUUGUUGAUAAUUGUUACAGUGAAACAUUUUGAUUCUUCUCAUUUCCUUUUUUGUACAUGCUGUAGCUGUUUUGUUUGCGGUUGCCAUGGGGACUGCAGCCAGCAUCCUAAAGCUGUAACACUCUCAUUGGAAUGUAUGCCAGCUUAGCUUCAAUAACAUGCAAAAACCCUGCACCUUGCAGCUCUGUCCCCACCCCCGUUCACUUACUGAUGUCACAAAAGCACAUCUUUAUUCACCGUGUGUCCAAACACACAGCCUAAUAAUUUUUGAAUGCAUGAGUCUCUUAAAUUGCGUAGAAACAAAAGGUGGGGUUAUAAACUGAAGUUACAGUGCUCCCAUAGUACAUGUGUUGCUUCCCUUGAUGGUGUCCCGUGGGUCCGCUGGGCCGCGUUCACCUGUUUAAAACUCUUUUUCCUUCUGUUGUUUACCGCCAUUAAUUCCCAAGGUCCUAUCUUCAAACUCACCGACUCUUCUACUUACUCAAGUUCGCUUCAGAAUCCCUCCAGUGAUGUUUCCAUUUCAGGGACAUUAUACUUUUCAGCUCUAGACUUUCUUCUUUGUAUACUUUUAUGUUUUCUAAUUCUUUAUUGGUAUUUCCAUCUCAUUCGCGCAUCACUGUCUUGAGUUUGUUCACACCUGAUUUUAGGGCUUUGCCCAACUUUGAGAUAGUUGUUUCAAGGUCACUUUCUGGUAAAUCUGCCAUCUGGUCUUUCUCGAGAACAGCUUUUGUUUAUUUCUUUUCUCCUAUGAGUGGGCCAUACUUCUGUGUUUCUGUUAUUGUUGUUGUUGAAAAUUAGACAUUUGAAUCUUAUAGCAUGGUAACUCUAGAAAAUAGAUUCUUCCCCCUUUCGCCAGGGUUCACUGGGGUUUUUCUUUUGUUUGUUGGAUUUUUGUAGACUGUCUCUGUACCAGGGAUCAGCCUGAAGUAUAAACUUACGGUCUUCUCAGGCUUGCCAGAACUUGUGCCCUCCCAUGGGCGUGUACCAUAACUUUCUGAAUUCCUCUGUAUAUUCGUUGCUUCAGAAUGUCUUCAUACUUUUUUUUUAAUGUUUAUUUAUUUUUGAGAGAGAGAGAGAGAAACAGAGCACAAGUAGGGGAGAGGCAGAGAGAGAGAAAGACGCAGAUUCCUCAGCAAGCUCCAGGCUCCGAGCUGUCAGCACAGAGCCCGAUGCGGGGCUCGAACCCACAAACCGUGAGAUCAUGACCUGAGCCGAAGUCGAACGCUUAACCAACUGAGCCACCCAGGCACCCCCACGAUAUCCUCAUUGUUAAAUGUCUAGUUCCAGAAAGAGGAAAAAGAGAAAAACUAAGGGGGAAAAAUGCCCCAGCCCUGUAAGUCCCCUGAGUUGCUUCAACAUGAAGAGGGGAGUCUGGCCACACUCGUGGGGGGAGUCCCAACAGUGGCCGCUCACCUCUGUGUCUGUGCCCCCACAGCCACAAGCACAUAUCAGCCACCAGGGCAUAGAUCCAGAUAUUUGGAGGCCGGUCCUGUUUCCACCCUGGUUCCUGCAAGCUGUGUGCGAGCUGCCCCAGGGGCCAGGGACUGGGGAGUGGGUAGCCAAGAGCUGAAGUGAAGUAAAAUUAACUCCACUUUAGCGGCCCAGACUCGCUCUAGGGGAAGUUGGGAGCCUUCUAGAGGACAGCAGUCUUCCGAAACCGUUACAUCAGACAGAUUCUGCCAGCACGGUUUUUGUCCAGGUGGAGAGAGGGAUUCCUGGGGCUUCCUACUCCAUCAUCUUCUCCUGGGCUGUGUGACCUUGACACAGUCACUCAAGCUCUCUGGGUCUUGCCUGUGAAGGUUAAGGGGAUUGGACCAAGGAUUGUGAAGAUCCUUUUGACUCUAGAAGUCUGGGAUUCUCUACCUCGGGCAACCAGUACUAUUGGGGAAAUGAGAUGCGAUUAGCCAUAACGCGUAACUAUUUGCAUUUUCCCCCUUUAUGUGGUUUCUGUUAAUACCCUUUCUUUGAUUUCCCUCCACCUUUAACUUAUUAGGGGGCACCUCUCGGCUUUUGUGGCUUCAUUCCCAUUCAUUUUCCUGCUCAUAAAGCCGGACCCUCCCCACUCUCAGCCCCAGGCUUGUGGGGAGGGAUUGACCUCACUCUUGGGAUGGACCCGGAUCAGCCUAAGCCAGUCAACGCAAUCCAAACCUCCGUGCAAUCUGAUGGUGCAGGGGCGGAGGCUGCAGUCUCUUAGUUCAAUGGCCCAGGACUUUGGGUCAACCUGAAGAGAGAUAAUUUUUCUCCUCUUUACUGGACUCCCGUCUGGAAGGAAGACAUCUGGUCACCAGGACAGGGGUCUGCGAGUGGUCUUGCCUGGGAGAGAGGUGCUAAACGAUGAAGAAAGAAACAGGUCCUGGUAGAAUCACUCGAGCCCCUGAAUCAAACUCCUUCUGUGUCUGAGCUUUCCUGUUCAUAGAACCCAGUAAGUCCCUUCCGGGCUCCAGCCAGGUUGCACUGAAGGUCCCGUCACAGGAAACGCAAGAGCCUGAUGGCUGCCUCCCCUCCAGCACCCAAGUCUCCAAGCUGAGACCAGCACAAAACUUUUGCUGCCUCAGCUUCUUCCCCACCCCCGGGGGUGUGAGUUAAAUUCCUCUCCUGCUGCCCCUUUUUCUCCAUUUUCUCGCCUCCCACCGAGGCAGCUGCAGAAACCACCCCGUAAUGGCAUCUCCAAGGGCGAGGGCACAUUAUCCCCAGACUCUAAUGAAGUGAGCAGCCCCGUCACGGCCAGGCCGGCCUCACGCAGUGACCACGAGGCUGCCGCGUCAGCACUGGGGGUUCCUGGCACGGACUCGCCUUCCUCCGGCAGAGGCGGAUUUGAGCGGAGAGGCCGCGGGUCCCGCAGCCGCGGAUGCAGAGUGGAAACGGACACGGUUGCCACCACCGGUUCCCACGCCUGAGCUGAGGAAGGGGGCGGAUGGAAGGAAUCGAAGGGCUCCGAAGAAAAACCCCCGGGGCCAUCAGUGUGGAAGGACGGUGGAGUUUAGAGUCCAGCAGGGUGAGAUGUGAACCCGGAUUUUGUGACCCAGCAGCUCUGCAACCGUGGGCAAGUCGCUUUGCUUCUGGGGGCAUUAGUUCCCUCGGGUUUGGAAAACAAAGACCGUGAUUCAUGUG